rnacentral:rRNA from 1 species
UGGGUAACCUGCCUCAAAGAGGGGAAUAGCCUCCCGAAAGGGAGAUUAAUACCGCAUAAUAUGUUUUAAUCGCAUGAUUUUAACAUCAAAGGAUUUUCUUCGGAACUUCCACUUUGAGAUGGACCCCGCGGCGCAUUAGCUAGUUGGUGAGGUAACGGCUCACCAAGGCAACGAUGCGUAGCCGACCUGAGAGGGUGAUCGGCCACAUUGGAACUGAGACACGGUCCAGACUCCGUAGGGAGG